AUUGAACGCUGGCGGAAUGCUUAACACAUGCAAGUCGAACGAGUGGCGGAAGGGUGAGUAAUGCAUGGGAAUCUGGCUUAUGGAGGGGGAUAACGACGGGAAACUGUCGCUAAUACCGCGUACUAUAGGAUGAGCCUAAGUGGGAUUAGGUAGUUGGUGGGGUAAGGGCCUACCAAGCCGACGAUCUCUAGCUGGUCUGAGAGGAUGACCAGCCACACCGGGACGCAUAGACGGCCCUGACUCCUACGGGAGGCAGACGUGGGAAAUAUUGCGCAAUGGUGGCAACCCUGACGCAGCCAUGCCGCGUGAAUGAAGAAGGCCUUAGGGUUGUAAAGUUCUUUAUGUAUUGAGGCGUUAAAUACAGAAGAAGCACCGGCUAACUCCGUGCCAGCAGCCGCGAUAAUUC
rnacentral:rRNA from 1 species